rfam:Picea glauca, whole genome shotgun sequence.
UUUUUGAGCAAAAUUUGAUCCCCUGAUCAAUCAGAUCCCAUUAGAACUUCACAGUUAAGCGUGUUGAGGCUAGAGUAGUACUCGGAUGGGUGACCACCCAAGAAUUCCUAGUGUUUUACAUU